rnacentral:rRNA from 1 species
UACAGAGACUGCAAGCGUUAUUUGGAUUCACUGGGCGUAAAGGGUGCGCAGGCGGCCAAGUGUGUGAGGCGUGAAAGCCCGGGGCUUAACCCCGGAAUUGCACCUCAAACUACAUGGCUAGAGCAUUGGAGAGGGUAGCGGAAUUCACGGUGUAGCAGUGAAAUGCGUAGAUAUCGUGAGGAACACCAGAGGCGAAGGCGGCUACCUGGACAAUUGCUGACGCUCAGGCACGAAAGCGUGGGGAGCAAAAGGG